rnacentral:rRNA from 1 species
UACGUAGGGUGCAAGCGUUAUCCGGAAUUAUUGGGCGUAAAGAGCUCGUAGGCGGUUUGUUGCGUCGGCUGUGAAAACCUGAGGCUCAACCUCAGGCCUGCAGUCGAUACGAGCAGACUAGAGUGUUGCAGGGGAGACUGGAAUUCCUGGUGUAGCGGUGAAAUGCGCAGAUAUCAGGAGGAACACCGGUGGCGAAGGCGGGUCUCUGGGCAACAACUGACGCUGAGGAGCGAAAGCGUGGGGAGCGAACAGG